rnacentral:rRNA from 1 species
AGGAUGAACGCUAGCGGCAGGCCUAACACAUGCAAGUCGAGGGGCAGCACGUCUUCGGAUGGUGGCGACCGGCGCACGGGUGCGUAACGCGUAUGCAACCUACCUCUUACAGUGGGAUAGCCAAGAGAAAUUUGGAUUAAUACCGCAUAGUAUAAAGGGCCAGCAUUGGUUUUUUAUUAAACAUUCAUGGGUAAGAGAUGGGCAUUGCGUUCUAUUAGCUAGAUGGAGUGGUAACGGCACCCCAUGGCUACGAUAGAGUAGGGGCCCUGGAGAGGGGGACUCCCCCACACCUGGUACCUGAGACCACGGGACCAGACUCCGUACGGGAGGCAGCAGUAGAGGAAUAUUGGACAAGUGGG